CCGGUCAUGUGACGAGGACUCACUGGCUCCGUGUGUUUGCAUACGUGUCCUUCCUCUCUGCUCACACGCCUUAAGAGAGCUGAUCAGUGGCGGUCCAGGCCUCACGCACACUGGCACGCCGGCAGCACAAUGAUGAUGUCACUGAGUCUACUGCUGACCAGCCUGGGGCUCCUUGUUCACGGUUCAUCAGGAGAAAUCCAGCUGACUCAGUCUCCUGGAUCUCAGUCUGUUCUUCCAGGACAGACUGUCUCCAUCAGGUGUAAAGCCAGUUCUGGCAUUGGUACCUACCUUCACUGGUACCUACAGAAACCAGAAGAAUCUCCCAAACUUUUGAUUUAUUACGCUACAAGUCGUCAGUCUGGGAUCUCAGAUCGUUUCAGUGGAAGUGGAUCUGGAAGUGACUUCACUCUGACCAUCAGAGGAGUUCUGACUGAAGAUGCAGGAGAUUAUUAUUGUCAGCAAGGUUCAAGCCCCCCGUUCACACAGUGAAACAACGUCGUACAAAAACCU